GUUCCCGGGGGACAGCUCUGCUCCUAGGCACUGCCCAUUGGGCCCCAGGCUCCCUUCUACUCCAGCCUCGCUCAGGGCCCUGUGGGGAUUGGAGAGCUUUCUGGAGCAGAUUAACCAGGGGACCCGGGCAGGGAUGGACACAGCCUGGUCGGGUUGGAUUCGGACCCUCUCUCUGUCACACAUUUGGCAUGAAAAUAUCUCCUUGCCCCAACCUACCUGCCCCGGCUGUGUGGGUGCAUGUGCAUGUGUGUGUGUGUGUGUGUGUGUGUGUGUGCACGUGAGCACACGUAAAUGUGCAUGCAUGCACCUGCACGUCUGGAUGUCUCUGUGUGUAAGUAGGUUGGGUAGUUUGGGGACAGCUCAUCUCCAGGUCACCAGGAAGAGCCCCGAGGGAUUCAGGGGUCCUUACCUGUGUCCCCUGGAAACGUUCAAGUGACCCGUCCUAUAAGCUGAUUUGCAGGACAGUCGUGAUUGCCCGGGAUCCCCCUAGGCGUGUAUUCCCAACCUCCACCCAGAGUCCUUUUCUUCCUCCUCCCCAGCCACUGACAUGUCCUGGCAGAAGUCAGCAAACUUACUUUGCAAAGAGCCAGAGAAUAAAUGUGUUAGGCUCUGUGGGCCAUACAUUCUCUUUUCCAGCUACUCACCUCUGCUGUUGUGGCGCAAAAGCAGCCGUAGACAAUAGGUAAAUGAAUGAGCAUGGCCGUGUUCCAGUUUUAUUUAUAAAAUCAGGAGAUGGAACAGACUUGGUCCAAGAGCUGUGGUUUGCCGUAAAGAUGGAGGACUGGAUCCUGACAGCUGCCCUGGCCCUCUGCAGAGGCCCUCUCUCUUUGGGGGCCUAAACAACAUCUUGCCUUAAAAUGAAAACUUAGCCUCAGCUCCUCCCUGCUCCUCUCCCCGGUGCCUGUGUGUACAUAACCUUUUUGUACUUAGAAUUAUACUCUUACAGAACUGGGAGUGGAAAGGUCAUUUCAUUCCACCCACUUAUUUUAGAGAUGAGACAAACUAGAGCCUAGAGAAGCUAAACUGCUUACCCAGGACCAUCGCACUAGUUGGUGGCAGAGGUGGGAUCAUGAAAAGCCUGGCAACUUCAGCCAGCCCUUCCCUCUCUGCUGUACUGCCUCGGCCCUGGAGGAGGGUGGAACAGAACAGCACCAACGAAUCACAGAGUAGGCUGAGCAGCAGUACUGGNUGGGGGGGGGGGGGGGGCUCUAGAAAGGUGGGAGAGGUCCUGGAGGAAAGAGCCUUGUUGCCUUUUGGGAAAUGACUCUGGAGGGCAUCUAACUGGGGAGAAGGCAAGAGUUCCCCUGGUGGCUUUUUUCAUCAGAAUGUGCUGGUGAGCAUCACAACCAGUUUGCUUCAGUCUGGAUGCCCCUCCGCCAUGGGAUUUGAAGGCCCCAGACCCCCUCCUCUCAUCCUCUCUUAGAGCAUUGAGGACAGAAAAACAAGACUGGUUUUACUUUACGAAGAAGAGGGAAUUCCCACUGUGGUGCAGUGGGUUAAGAAUCUGACUGUAGCAGGUCGGGUCACUGUGGAGGUGUGGGUUUGAUUCCUAGCCCGAAGCAGUGGGUUGGUUAAAGGAUCUGAUGUUGCUGCAGCUGCGGCUCUGAUUCAGUCCCUGGCCUGGGAACUUCCAUGUGCUGCAGGGGCAGCCAUAAAAUUAAAAAAAAAAUUAAAUUAAAACAAUAAAAUAAGAGACAAAAAGACAACCCUAGUCCUGAGUUUGCUUUUUCUCUAGAGAUUUUUAAGUGCGAGCUUUACUUGUCUGGGCCUCAGUUUCCCUGUUGGUGUGAUGGGGAGGGGUCCAGGCAGGGCAGAGGGAGAACAAGGACUUGGUCCUUAGUGUAGAGAAAAGGGAAAGCCCUGGUUCUGAGGGGCCAGGAGGAGACACCAGGUGUCCUGCCCGCUGAGGUCUCUUCCUGGGAAACCAAGGAACCCAGUGAGUCAACCCUGGCUUCAGCUGGAAGACCGGUAGGGGGUGGGGGAGGGUUGGAAAAAUGAGCUGAACCCAAGCCUGGUGCUUGGCUGCACCUGCCCUUGAAAUUAGGAAUGCUGCGUGUCAGGAAGAGAAAAGUGGGACUCGAGAGCCCAGGCCAAGCCUGGAAAGGCUCCCGGAGGAUGCUGAGCUCACAGCCCAGACCCUCCAAUCAAUAGGGCAUGGCUAUUUAUAGCAUCAGCCCGAGAGAAACUUAAUUAUGAUCAAAAGGAGCUAUUUAAUACCGUGCUUGCCGAAGACGCAACCUCUUGUCAGUGGAAAUUAAUCAGCGGCUGCUGUGGGUUCCUGCCCCCUCGGGCUCCAGAGCUGGGGAGGCGCCUGGCGGGAGCUGGUGCACCGGCCGCUCCAGGAGUGCUGAUGACAUCAGUGUGGUCGCAAAGUCAUCUGAUGUGCUGUGGUCUCCCCAGGGCUCCAGAUGCAGGGGAGGAGGGCCCUGGACCCCAGCAGAGACGGGGGUUCACGACUCCACUCAGGUCCUGCCUCUCCCUCGGCGUUCCCUAACUGCCCGCCGGCAUCUCUCUCUCCUUUUCACCCCCGCAGCCUUUGCAGCCUGUCCUGCGUGUUCCAGACUCUGGUUGGGACUCCAUUUCCCUCCUUGUCACUGAAGGGCUGUAAGCUGCAGUUCCUCACUUGUAAAUUAGAGGUAGCAACAGCGCCUUCUUCAUAGGGUGGUUUUGAGGGUUAAGAUAAGUUACCACCUGGGAACUCACUUCGAAGAGCCUGGCCCGGGUCAGGUGCUCCCUGAGCACCAGACGCUGUUGCUCCCGCCACGUGUGUGUGUGCAUUACCCUUGUCUCCCCAGCCAGACGGUGUCUCAAGGGCAGAAAUGGUGCCUCGGUCCUUGAGGUGACCUCCCCCGGUGCGCAGCGCAGUGCUAGCCACGUAGAGUGUGUUUAAUAAGUGUUGGUUCAUUCAUUCAUUUCUUCUCAAAACCUUUAUUGAGCCUUCGUGGGUUCAGGCCUCCUACUGGACACGACGUGGAGAAUUAAAGAGAUUCUCACUUCUGUGAGCACCCACCCUGCAGGAAACCGUGCAGAAGAGCUGUUAGAGCACAGGCUCUGGGAGUUCCCGUUGGGGCUCGGUGGGUUCAGAACCCAACUAGUAUCCAUGAGGAUGCGGUUCGAUCCCCGACCUUGCUCAGUGGGUUGAGGAUCUGGCGUUGCCAUGAGCUAUGGUGUAGGUCACAGAUGUGGCUCAGAUCCCGCAUUGCCAUGGCUGUGGCGUAGGCUGGCAAUUGCAGCUCCAAUGCAACCCCUGGCCUCGGAACUUCCACAUGCCGAGGGUGUGGCCCUAAAAAGAACAACAGCAACAGAAAGACCAUGGGCUCUGAAGUCAGACAGCCUGGCCUAGAAUCCCAGCUUCAGUGCUUGUAAGAGUAGCUGGGCCUUGACGAAAUGCCACCCCCGGUGUGGGAAGAAAGCAGCUUUACGUUUCUCUGCACUGUCGCUGUGAAUUUAUUCAGCAGAGCCGAUUCUGCUGCCCUGGAUGCAAUCUGGGCCAGGUCCCAUGAUUUUCCAGGUCAUUUUUAGGUAACGUGAGCAGCCUCAGUUCCGUAUUCGCUGUGUCCAGCCCAGUCCGGUCAUCAGAAACUUACAGCCCACCUAGCGAGGUGGCGCCUGUCCCGACUCCGCCUGCCACUGAUGGAGAUGCUUCUUUUUUUUUCCCUUCUGUCCCUGUCCUGGUCUGAAAGGAAGCAAAGGGCUCUCAGAAGCUGGAAAGUUGAGGGGAGUUUCAUAAAAGGCCUGUUUCCAAAGGUGUUAGCUGGGCCUGCAGGUUUGUGGGGGGGUGCAGAAUUUACUAGAGCAAAGAGUGUGAAUAGGCUACCUUCGAGCCAACUCGGGGUUGUUAGCCCAUGGUGCCUCCUGCUGGACGGCACAGUGCCUGCUGGGAAGGGACAGUGGGUCUGGGGGCAGGGGAAAGCCCCUCCUGGGGCCUCUCCUUUUCUCCUCCCAGGCUGGAGCAGUGGAAAGGGAGGAGGGCGUGGAAGUUCCUUCCUUCCUUUCCUUCUUUCUUUCUUUCUUUCUUUCUUUCUUUCUUUCUUUCUUUCUUUCUUUCUUUCUUUCUUUCUUUCUUUCUUUCCUUUCUUUCCUUUCUUUCCUUCUUUCCUUUCCUUUCCUUUUUAGGGCUGCACUCGCAGCAUAUGGAAGUUCCCAGGCUCGGGGUCAAAUCAGAGCUGCAGCUGCCGGCCGACACCACAGCCACAGCAAUGCGGGAUCCGAGCCGCAUCUUCAAACUCACGGCAACACCACAUCCUUAACCUAUUGAGCGAGGCCAGGGAUCAAACCUGCGUCCUCAUGGAUAGCAGUCAGGUUUAUAACCCGCUGAGCCACAGUAGGAACUCCCUGGAAGUUCUCACUUAAGUUCUCUGGGCCCAGCAGACACGUAAAGCUGACUCUUCUCCCCUGGGGAGCACUUGUGGGGUUCUUUAGCGACCCUGGCCCCACCCCGUCCCCAGGAAGCACCCUCAGUUCCCCUCAUCUUGAUGGGCGCUUGCCGCCCUCCUCAGCCCGGAGCACUCCAGGCAGGCUCUCUCCCCGUAGGGUCCACUCCUGUCCCAGGGAAGCUCGCCUUUGCCUGAAAACCAGGGGCACCUGGGAGGCCCCUUUUCUUUGCCCCGCCAUCGCUUUGCACGUCCAUCACUUUCCCUGUCGAUUAUUCGCGCCUGAAUUAGAUGCCACUUUUCUGUGUCUCCCAAGGGCAGAGCACCCGUGUAACACUCCCUGAGAGGUGCCCCUCAAACCCCUCUCCUGGCUUGACCGGAACGGGGAGCAGGCAGAGCACACCAGCCACCCUCUUCGGUGCCCUGCUCUUGUUCUCACUGCCUCACGGAUGGCCUCGGGGGCUGGAGGGCAGACAGCGCGGAGCCUCGGGGCUGGUUCUGCUCUUCCCUGGAGAUGUAGAGCCUGGUCUGAAGCAGCUAUAGCUCUGAUUAGACCCCUGGCCUGGGAACUUAUGUAUACUGAGUGCAGCCCUAAAAAAGCAAAAAACCAACAAACACAAACAAAACAAAACUCGCCUUCAUCUGUCUGCUUUUCAAGGCCCUCAUUCUGUUCCAUGCUUAUUGUAUUCCUUUCUGCUCCAGCCAGACACCCCUCCGUUCAAUAACUAGUCCAUUCAGGGUUUUUAAGGCACCUGCCGGGCACCGGACGUGGAGCAGGGGCCGGGUCCAGGAGAGCCAAGGAGAUGCCUGUUCGUAGGGAGUUUGCACUCAGGCAGCGAAGGCAUGAGCCUGGCGAUCCAGGGCAGGGAGCGAGUGCAGGGACCGGGGAGAAGGAGGCAGUGUUGUCGAACGGCAGGCCACCAGCCCAUUAGUGGGUCAUGAAAUUAACUUAUGGGUUAAGGAUCCGGCAUUGCCAUGAGCUGUGGUGUAGGUUGCAGACGUGGCUCAGAUUCCCCACGUUGCUGUGCCUGUGGUGUAGGCCGGCAGCUACAGCACCCAUUGGACCCCUAGCCUGGGAACCUCCAUAUGCCACAAGUGCUGCCCUUAAAAAGCAAAAAAAAAAAAAAAAAAAA
rnacentral:lncRNA from 1 species